UGGGGAAUAUUGGACAAUGGGCGAAAGCCUGAUCCAGCCAUGCCGCGUGUGUGAAGAAGGUCUUCGGAUUGUAAAGCACUUUAAGUUGGGAGGAAGGGCAUUAACCUAAUACGUUAGUGUUUUGACGUUACCGACAGAAUAAGCACCGGCUAACUCUGUGCCAGCAGCCGCGGUAAUACAGAGGGUGCAAGCGUUAAUAGGAAUUACUGGGCGUAAAGCGCGCGUAGGUGGUUUUUUAAGUUUGAUGUGAAAUCCCCGGGCUCAACCUGGGAACUGCAUUCAAAACUGACUGACUAGAGUAUGGUAGAGGGUGGUGGAAUUUCCUGUGUAGCGGUGAAAUGCGUAGAUAUAGGAAGGAACACCAGUGGCGAAGGCGACCACCUGGACUAAUACUGACACUGAGGUGCGAAAGCGUGGGGAGCAAACA
rnacentral:rRNA from 1 species